GUUGGAGAGAGUUUUCUGUCGUCUGAAGGAGCAUGGACUAAAACUUAAGCCGAAGAAAUGCCAUCUUCUUCGGACCCAAGUCCGGUACCUGGGGCACAUUGUGUCAGAGAGAGGGAUAGCCACUUGUCACGGCUGACCCCGAACCAGUUAUUAUGUGUAGUAAGAAAUUGGAUUCCUUUGCAUGGAGAAUUUCAGUGGCUAGAGUUCACGGCUCCUCGAUUGAUUCAGAUUCAGUUGUAUUAAGUCUGCCCACUAAUAAUGUAGAGCAAAAUAGGUAUUGUGGUGUUUGCAGAGCCGACCCGAGCUGAACCCAAGACAGAAGUGGAGUCCUGCUGGGAACGAGCUGAAACAUUGGACAUGGACUGGAUGAUUUAAAAAUGAAAUGUAUUAAUGAGAUGAUAUGUGCUGUAACCAUUUGUAAUGUUUGAAUAAUCUUUAGUCUGUAACAAAUACUGUAAAGUGCUCUCUCUGUAAGACCGUAUAACAGAAUCUGGUACAACUUGAUACACUGGCCGGCCUUGAGCAGUCUUUUAUUAAAAUUGGCACGAUUCCCAGAAUUUAGUGCUGAAAUCUCUGUUAAGACUUUUCAGCUUAAAUACAGAAUAAUGCUGUACUAAUAGAUGUAUGUUAAAAUGUUUGUUUUAAAUGGUAUAGAUUGUUGUGGUAACAUAUAAUCAUAGGUAGUGAUAAUUAUUGUUAGUAUGAAAUACUAUGAACAAUUUUUAUGUAUAAGAUCAUAUGAUUCACUUUGCUUAAUAUGAUAGCAUACCUGAAGCUGUUUUCUAUCAAGAUGAGCAUAGUUAAAAACUGAGUCCUAAUUCAAUGAAAAGAAUUACUGUGUGCUUACAUUCAAGAAUUAUAACUUCUGAAUAUAAAGGGAAAAGGAGUUAGGAGUAUUCUUAAGGGAAAGAGAAAAACAGAAAAGGAUUAAAAGACCUCGCUUUGAGUAGGUUUCUGCUUGUAAUUCAGUUUUAAAAUAAGUAGGUGAGUAAGAACAACCUAGAGUAAAAGCAGACUAUAACUCAAGAAAAAUAAGCAUUGUCAGAAGAUACACCACAAAUAGAGAGCAGAAAAAUUGAAUAAAAUCCUAUUGUAAUAUUGCGGAUAUACUGCUGCUAGCAGAAAGUAAUAAGGUUAGCAGCCAUACGCUAUAAGAAGUAAUGUACUAGUUUGACUCUGAAGUUAAAAGACGCAGCAUAAAAAGAUGUUGUGUUUAAAAUACAAAAUAAAAGGAUUGAAUAAAUAAUGAAGAAUAAAAGCAGGAGAUCGGUUUUAGGAGAGUAAACUCUAUGUGACCUGUCUUCUUGAACUCUCUAUCAGCCUGCCCUUGGAGAAAUUAAUAUUAGCUGCUGGAAGGCCUCUUUGGUGGGAAGAAGCCGGAAUUUUUUUAUCAGAAGGCUUAUAGUAUCGGGCCGGACUGCAAAAAUAGGGAGUUAGAACGGAUGGUCUUAGCACCUAAGAUAGUUAGUUGCCGGGCGGAACAAGCACGUAAGAUACAGGUGUAAGGAAAGUUCUAGGGAACAUUAAUCACUAUUAAACUUGGCAAGAAAAGAGAUGACAUGAGGGAAUAUAUUUUUGAAAGCCAAGUUCAUGUAAUCAAUUAUAAUCAUUAUAACUAUAACUGCUAUAUUAUGAUAUAACUAUUGGUGUUGCAUAUAUUCAAAAAACACCACUUUUCUUAUAUUGGUGUUGCAUAUAUUUAAAACACCACUCCUUUUUAUAAUGCACCCAUAUUAAGUAGUGAAUCAAGGUUGCAGGGAUUUUGUGAACUCUGCUUCACCUAACUUUUCAGAUGAAGGAGGGGGGCCAAGAAUGAGUGGAUGAGAACAUGGGCUAGUGUUGAUUUGUUGGCAUAUGACUCCAAUUGAGUCUGAAGAGUUGGUUAACUUCUUUAGAGAUUACUGUUUGCCAAGAGAUAAGGACUGUCAAUAUAGAUUGAUGACUGGAUCUAAUUGGGGCCUCCCAUUGCUUUCAAUGGGACGAAAAUUGUAUAAAAACCCUGGGCCGAUCACACUGAGACCACCACAAUCAAGCUGGGCAGAGCUUUGUGGUCCAUCCUUUGCAGAUCUCCACAGAACAGUCCUUCUCUUUUGUUCACGCUACUCUUCCUUAUAAUAGGAGGUAAGCAUAUUAAUGGUAUUAUUGUAUCUCACAUUUAUUGGUUAUAUUGCUAUGAGGUUUUGAAACUAUGUUUUGGUAUUGAGGGUGUUAUAUUGAAUGUACUAAAACAUAGCAGUGGGUGCUUGUAGGCUUUGUGCUUAACCAGCCUGAGGGCUGCACUGAAUACAUAUAAUUGUAUUAUGUUAUUGAAGUAUUAAAUGCUGAAGCUUGUAAUAAACUUAGGAUUGCUAAUUAUUGUUACAUGUUUUCGGGUUUUGGUAGUAUGCGCAAACUACUAAACCAAUAUUAAAGGCAUUUUAAUAAAACGAAGGAGCGCUGAUGUUGCUCUGAUUCGUAAAACUUUUAAUAAA